GGAGGCGUCGCAUAGUGGCCCAGUGCGCCCGCCGGCUAAGUGGGUUGGGAUUAACCUCCCUCGCGGGUUCAAAUCCCGCCGCCUCCG
rnacentral:tRNA from 1 species